rnacentral:rRNA from 1 species
UACAGAGGUGGCAAGCGUUGUUCGGAAUUACUGGGCGUAAAGGGCGUGUAGGCGGUCGCCUAAGUCAGACGUGAAAUCCCCAAGCUUAACUUGGGAACUGCGUCUGAUACUGGGUGGCUUGAGUUCGGGAGAGGAAUGUGGAAUUCCAGGUGUAGCGGUGAAAUGCGUAGAUAUCUGGAGGAACACCGGUGGCGAAGGCGGAUCUCUGGGCCUUACCUGACGCUGAGGCGCGAAAGCUAGGGGAGCAAACAGG